rnacentral:lncRNA from 1 species
GAAGAGUCACAGAGGGCUAAAAAGAGGAGGGGAGGAGAAGAAGUGGGAGAGAGAGAGAGAGAGAGAGAGAAUACAGCCCCCUCACAAAUCUUAUCGCAUCUGCUCUGGCUCUUCUCUGUCUUUCAUUUUCACAUUUUCACAUUCCUUUUGUUCAAGAGAAAAUCAUAUCCACACGUCACAUCUUUUUAUUAUUCAUUUGGAGCAUUACGUUCAAGACAGUAAACCUAAUGCACUGCAAACUUUUCCUCACAAUAAGUGCGUUGUCUCCUUUUGUUCUGAAAUAUAAAUGUAUAAGUCAAACCAGCGUAUCUACGCUAAAGGGCUAACUAAUGCCCACCAAGCUCUCCAAAACACCUGGAGCAUAAUACUCAGGAAGUGCAGAUUAUUGGCUCUUGGUCCUCCGGUGCUCAUAACCAGGCAACUGCCUGCAUAAAGAGAGAGAUUGUGUCAGUCCAACUGGUUGGGGUUGUUGUCCUGCUGGAAGGUGAAUCCAUCUCCCAGUGUCUGGUGGAAAGCAGACUGAACCAGGUUUUCCGCUAGGAUUUUGCCUGUGCUUCACUCCAUUCUGUAUCUUUGUAGUAACUGGGUGUAUUGAAACACCAUCCAAAGUGUAAUUCAUAACUUCACCUUCCUCAGAGGGAUAAUAGAUGUCAUUUUUUUCUCUCCCGCAUCUACAAAUAAGUGCCCUUUGCGAGGCAUUGGAAGACCUCCCUGGUCUUUGUGGUUGAAUCUGUGUUUGAAAUUCAUUGCUUGACUGAGGGACCUUACAGAUAAUUGUAUGUGUGGGGUACAGAGAUGAGGUAGUCAUUCAUGCAACUUAUGCAACUUAUUAUGUGACUUGUUAAGCACAGUUUUACUCCUGAAUUAUUUAGGCUUGCCAUGAGAAAGGGGUUGAAUACUUAUUGACUCAAGACAUUUCAGCUUUUCAUUUUUUAUUAAUUUGUAAAAAUGUCUAAAAACAUAAUUCCACUUUUACAUUAUAGGCCAGUGACAACAAAUCUCAAUUGAAUCAAUUUUAAAUUCAGCCUGAAACACAACAAAAUGUGGAAAAAGUCUAGGGGUGUUUAUACUUUCUGAAGAAAGUGUAUAUGUCUACCCUGAAAGGCUGUGCUGAAGCACAAGUACAUUGUUUUAACCAUUGAAUAAGUUGUAUUGCAAUAAACUGAGCAAGAAUGAGACAACGUAUAUACUAAUAAAUAUCAGUCUUAAAACGUUACGGGUUUAUUUUAUUAUUUUCAUUUUAUGUAGGCAUGUACAGUGUGUUGGGAGAGAAUAUUCAAUAAUUCUUAACUGUUCAAUAAUUGAACACCAGCCCAUCCCUUAUUAAAGCAUGUAUAUUGAUCUUGAGAUGAUAAAAGAGCAUAAAAGACCAUUUUAGAAUCAAC